rnacentral:rRNA from 1 species
CCUACGGGUGGCAGCAGUGAGGAAUAUUGGUCAAUGGACGAGAGUCUGAACCAGCCAAGUAGCGUGAAGGAUGACUGCCCUAUGGGUUGUAAACUUCUUUUAUAUGGGAAUAAAAUGUUCCACGUGUGGGAUUUUGUAUGUACCCUAUGAAUAAGGAUCGGCUAACUCCGUGCCAGCAGCCGCGGUAAUACGGAGGAUCCGAGCGUUAUCCGGAUUUAUUGGGUUUAAAGGGAGCGUAGGUGGGUGGUUAAGUCAGUUGUGAAAGUUUGCGGCACAACCGUAAAAUUGCAGUUGAAACUGGCAGUCUUGAGUACAGUAGAGGUGGGCGGAAUUCGUGGUGUAGCGGUGAAAUGCUUAGAUAUCGCGAAGAACUCCGAUUGCGAAGGCAGUUCACUGGACUGCAACUGACACUGAGGCUCGAAAGUGUGGGUAUCAAACAGGAUUAGAUACCCGAGUAGUC